rnacentral:rRNA from 1 species
GGAGGUAGUGACAAUAAAUCACAAUGCGGGACUAUCAGUCUUGCAAUUGGAUUGAGAACAAUGUACAACUCUUAUCGAUAAGCCAUUGGAGGGCAAGUCUGGUGCCAGCAGCCGCGGUAAUUCCAGCUCCAAUAGCGUAUAUUAACGUUGUUGCAGUUAAAAAGCUCGUAGUUGAAGUGUGGGUGGUGCCAUCUGUGAAGCUUCGGCUUCUAGGAUACUCACUACCCCCUUCCAGUAUCCAGUAGUGGGUAUUCAGUUACUUACUAUUGUGUGUUGGUCCUUUACUGUGAGAAAAUUAGAGUGUUCAAAGCAGGCGUUUGCUUGAAUAGAUUAGCAUGGAAUAAUAAUUGAAGGCUUUCGUGUUCGAUUUGAUUGGUUUGUUCAUGGAAGCAAGGUUAAAAGGAACAGUUGGGGGUAUUCAUAUUCACUAGUUAGAGGUGAAAUUCUCGGAUUUAUGGAAGAUGAACAAGUGCGAAAGCA